rnacentral:rRNA from 1 species
CUUGCACGCUGGCGGCCGGCCUAACACAUGCCAGUCGAACGAGUGGCGGACGGGUGAGUAAUGUCUGGGAAACUGCCUGAUGGAGGGGGAUAACUACUGGAAACGGUAGCUAAUACCGCAUACCAUCGGAUGUGCCCAGAUGGGAUUAGCUAGUAGGUGGGGUAACGGCUCACCUAGGCGACGAUCCCUAGCUGGUCUGAGAGGAUGACCAGCCACACUGGAACUGAGACACGGUCCAGACUCCUACGGGAGGCAGCAGUGGGGAAUAUUGCACAAUGGGCGCAAGCCUGAUGCAGCCAUGCCGCGUGUAUGAAGAAGGUCUUCGGAUUGUAAAGCACUUUAAGUUGGGAGGCGUUACCAACAGAAUAAGCACCGGCUAACUUCGUGCCAGCAGCCGCGGUAAUAC